GAACACUUUAGUUUAUACAAAUGUAACACUAUAACUGUGCAGUAAUUUCUUUGGCAGCCGCCCGAGCUGGCGUGUUUUUGAGAGUCAUCUAGCUGCUGAGGGAUUACAAGCUGUUCAAAGGCUCCGAAGAUGCAAGACUACUGAUGAAAAUUAAAAAAUGAGGUAUAUACGCUCUGCCUUUGUCUUUCCUGGCCACACUACCUGCCAGCAUGAUGCCAUCAGAGGCGGCGUCUCGUCAUCUCAUCGCUCCGUGGCUGCUGGGCUGCCGCCAGUAGCGCCGCACCACCUGCUCCCACCCCUCCCUCUCCUUCCUUCCUACCUCUGGGUGCAAUCUGCCCACCUGCUUCCAUGGGUUCAUCCUCGAGAUCAUCCCCUCGAGGCAGUGAAGACAUUAUCUCAGUGGAGUAAAAAGCUAGAGGUAAAGUGACAGAGCUAGUUUUAAGUGCCUCUCUGAAAACACCACAGAAGCCCUUUGGCUGUUUCUGUCUCUGUCUCUUUUUUUUUUUUGUAUUUAAGCACAGCAAAGUUUUCAGAUUGGAUUAAAAUGAACAGAAGGGGUUUGCAGGUGAGGAGUCGUGGCUCCCUGCUGAAGGCUAGCCCCGUGUUUGUUGUUGGCGUUGUUGUUAUAGUCAUAAUAUUGUGCGUUUAUCUGGAGAUGAUGCUGACGUUCCCGUGGUGACUGAUACUAGACAGCUCUG
ensembl:lncRNA